UGGUGACUGAAAACCCUGAGUUAGUCUGCAUGACAGAUCCGGGCCUGCCCAAGUGCACAGCUUUGAGGUUGGCCCAGGCCCCUUCCUGACCAAACAGCAGGGCCUUCCUCCCUCUGACUAGGUCAGGUCCGCUGGGCAGGGCAGGGGAGGACCGGCCCUGCCGCCUCCACCCUGGGGACACCCCUGGUCCCACCAGAGCCCUCGGCUUUGGCUCUACAGACCUGGUAGGCGGCAGCUACAGCAGACAGGACCUGGCCCCAGGUCUUUUGUGAAGAAUUCUGAAGGGGCGAGAUGCGGUGGCUCACGCCUGUCAUCCCAGCCCUUUGGGAGGCUGAGGCAGGGGGAUCACUUGAGGCCAGGAGUUCAAGACCAGCCCGGCCAACAUGGUGAAACCCCGUCUCUACUGAAAAUACAAGAAUUAGCUGAGUGCAGUGUUGCACACCUGUAGUCCCAGGUACUCGGGAGGCUGAGGCAGGAGGAUCGCUUGAACCCGGGAGGCGGAGGCUGCAGUGAGCCGAGAUUGUGCCAUUGCACUGCAGCCUGGUGGCAGAGCAAGACUCAAAAAAAAAAAUAAAUAAAUAAUAAUAAUAAUAAUAAUAAUAAUAAUAAUAACAACAGGCUGGGCGAGGUGGCUUACGCCUUGGGAGGCUGAGACGGGUGGAUCACUUGGGUCCAGGAAUUCGAGACCAGCCUGGUCAACAUGGCAAAACCCCAUUGCUACUCAAACUGCAAAAAUUAGCUGGUCGUGUUGCUGGGCGCCUGUCAUCCCAGCUACUGGGGAGGCUGAGGCAGGAGGAUCGCUUGAACCCGGGAGGCGGAGGCUGCACUGAGCCGAGAUCGCGCCGCUGCACCCCAGCCUGGGCCACAAGAGCGAGAGUCGGUUGCAAAAACGCUACUAAUGAUGCUCAGGACGGUUCUGUGAUUAACUUUCAGGGUCGCACCAGAAACAAGGGACCCCCGCGGCGGCCCCGGAGGCCUCACCUUCUGCAGAUGAGGAAGACACUGAGCAAGGCCAGCAGCGUCCCCAGCGCCAUCAGCAGCGACGUCCGCCAGGCGCGCGAGCUCGCGCCCUCCUCCGGGUCGCACUCUGCGGGGAGAGGGCGCGAGGGUCACGGCCCGGGGCCCGCCCUGGGGGAUCAUGGACGGUGGGCUCUCCCCGCGGCCCUGGGAAGCAGAGACGUGGCUGCCACAUGGGGUGGCGUCCGGGGGACACCCCGUACUGCCACCUGCACAGGAGCCGUGACCACCUGCGGGCCGCCUACGUCCCGGACAAGGAGGAACACCUGGGUCUUCCGGGCACAAGGAGGGACAUCCGGGCCUCCCAGCCCCAGCCCGGAACCCUGCGUCCCGGGACAAGGAAGGACAUCCGGACCUCCCAGCCCCAGCCCGGAACCCUGCGUUCCGGAACAAGGAGGGACAUCCGGGCCUCCCAGCCCCAGCCCGGAACCCUGCGUCCCGGGACAAGGAGGGACAUCCGGGCCUNNNNNNNNNNNNNNNNNNNNNNNNNNNNNNNNNNNNNNNNNNNNNNNNNNNNNNNNNNNNNNNNNNNNNNNNNNNNNNNNNNNNNNNNNNNNNNNNNNNNGGAACCCUGCGUCCCGGGACAAGCAGGGACAUCCGGGUCUUCCAUCCCCAGUCGGGAAUCCUGAGUCCCGGGACCCUGAGCAACGUCCGGGCCUCCCAGGCCCAGCCCGGAACCCUGCGUCCCGGGACAAGGAGGGACAUCCGGGCCUCCCAGCCCCAGCCCGGAGCCCUGCGUCCCGGGACAAGCAGGGACAUCCGGGCCUCCCAGCCCCAGCCUGGAACCCGGAGCGACAUCCAGGCCUCCCAGCCCCAGCCCGGAACCCCAAAUCCCGGGACCCGGAGCAACAUCCGGGCUUCCGAGCCCCAGCCCGGAACCCUGCGUCCCGGGACAAGGAGGGACAUCCGGGCCUCACAGUCCCAGCCUGGAACCCGGAGCGACAUCCAGGCCUCCCAGCCCCAGCCCGGAACCCCAAAUCCCGGGACCCGGAGCAACAUCCGGGCUUCCGAGCCCCAGCCCGGAACCCUGCGUCCC
ensembl:lncRNA